AGGGUUUGAUCCUGGCUCAGAAUGAACGCUGGCGGUGCGCCUAACACAUGCAAGUCGAACGCUGUUCGGCAGGCUCACAGUGGAUCUCGAGGAGGGGUUCACCGUGAGCUUGUCGAACGGAGUGGCGGACGGGUGAGUAACACGUAGGUAACCAACCCUUAGGAUUGGGAUACUCCCGAGAAAUCGGGUACAAUACCGGAUAUUAUCCCGGGGUGAAAUUCCUUGGGAUAAAAGCUAUGAGCAAUCAUGGUGCCUAAGGAUGGGCCUGCGGCCUAUCAGCUAGUUGGUGAGGUAAAGGCUUACCAAGGCAAAGACGGGUAGCCGGACUGAGAGGUUGAUCGGCCACACUGGAACUGAGAUACGGUCCAGACUCCUACGGGAGGCAGCAGUGGGGAAUUUUGCGCAAUGGGCGAAAGCCUGACGCAGCGACACCGCGUGGGGGAAGAAGGCCUUCGGGUUGUAAACCCCUUUCGUGAGGGAAAAAGUCCCGAGCAAUCGGGAUGAUGGUACCUCAGGAAGAAGCCACGGCUAACUCUGUGCCAGCAGCCGCGGUAAGACAGAGGUGGCAAGCGUUGUUCGGAUUUACUGGGCUUAAAGGGCGUGUAGGCGUCCUGAUAAGUCAGAUGUGGAAGCCUUAGGCUCAACCUAAGAAUUGCAUUUGAAACUAUUGGGAUUGAGUCGGGCAAGGGAGGGUAGAAUUCCUGGUGGAGCGGUGAAAUGCGUAGAUAUCAGGAGGAAGGCCGGUGGCGAAGGCGGCCCUCUAGGCCCUGACUGACGCUGAGGCGCGAAAGCGUGGGUAGCAAACAGGAUUAGAUACCCUGGUAGUCCACGCCCUAAACGGUGGGUACUAGGUGUGGGUGGCGAUAGUCAUCUGUGCCGAAGGGAAACCAUUAAGUACCCCGCCUGGGGAGUACGGCCGCAAGGUUAAAACUCAAAGGGAU
rnacentral:rRNA from 1 species